GGCCGCCGCGCUCCCUGCGCCGCGCUCCGGGCGUGCGAUAGCGGGGCGGUGCCGGCAGCUCGCCGCGCCGGCCGGGCCCCGCCGAUAAGGGCGGUUGGCUGGGCUCUCUCGCAGGGUCCAGCCCCGGCUGUCUCCGCACUGACCUAGGGAAGGGACGCGGCACAACCCCUGGUUGUCCCCUGGGCGGUGCCGGAGCCCUGAGGGACGCGGAAACCUGCCCAGAGGCCGCCCCGCCGUGGCGCUGCCCGCAGGUUGUUGUGUAAUUCUGCUUAGUAAAAGCACGUUCCUUACAUCAGUCACUCAUGCAAUGCAAGAAAAAUAUGAAUUUCCAUUGGCUCACAAAUAGAAACAGAAAUGGCACACCCUUAGAAAGACAAACAUUGAAGAAUAUUGUAAAAGGACUUGUAAUAAGAAAUUGAAAUUUAUAAAUACAAUACAGGUAUCCCAAG